CAACCCUCAGGACUCCUCUUCUGGAGAACUGGCGUUGGGGAUCAGCGUAGGCGCGGGGUUCUGCCCCGCCAGCUGGCCCUGAAAUACAGUGGCGGUCUCGCUCUGGACUCCCUUGCGUAGUAACUCACCUCGCCUGUGGAAACCUAGCCUGGCCACGCCGUAAAACCCCCUACUUUUUUAU
rnacentral:misc_RNA from 1 species